rnacentral:rRNA from 1 species
AUGUUAGCGGCGGACGGGUGAGUAACACGUGGAUAACCUACCUAUAAGACUGGGAUAACUUCGGGAAACCGGAGCUAAUACCGGAUAAUAUUUUGAACCGCAUGGUUCAAAAGUGAAAGACGGUCUUGCUGUCACUUAUAGAUGGAUCCGCGCUGCAUUAGCUAGUUGGUAAGGUAACGGCUUACCAAGGCAACGAUGCAUAGCCGACCUGAGAGGGUGAUCGGCCACACUGGAACUGAGACACGGUCCAGACUCCUACGGGAGGCAGCAGUAGGGAAUCUUCCGCAAUGGGCGAAAGCCUGACGGAGCAACGCCGCGUGAGUGAUGAAGGUCUUCGGAUCGUAAAACUCUGUUAUUAGGGAAGAACAUAUGUGUAAGUAACUGUGCACAUCUUGACGGUACCUAAUCAGAAAGCCACGGCUAACUACGUGCCAGCAGCCGCGGUAAUACGUAGGUGGCAAGCGUUAUCCGGAAUUAUUGGGCGUAAAGCGCGCGUAGGCGGUUUUUUAAGUCUGAUGUGAAAGCCCACGGCUCAACCGUGGAGGGUCAUUGGAAACUGGAAAACUUGAGUGCAGAAGAGGAAAGUGGAAUUCCAUGUGUAGCGGUGAAAUGCGCAGAGAUAUGGAGGAACACCAGUGGCGAAGGCGACUUUCUGGUCUGUAACUGACGCUGAUGUGCGAAAGCGUGGGGAUCAAACAGGAUUAGAUACCCUGGUAGUCCACGCCGUAAACGAUGAGUGCUAAGUGUUAGGGGGUUUCCGCCCCUUAGUGCUGCAGCUAACGCAUUAAGCACUCCGCCUGGGGAGUACGACCGCAAGGUUGAAACUCAAAGGAAUUGACGGGGACCCGCACAAGCGGUGGAGCAUGUGGUUUAAUUCGAAGCAACGCGAAGAACCUUACCAAAUCUUGACAUCCUUUGACAACUCUAGAGAUA